rnacentral:rRNA from 1 species
UACGUAGGGGGCAAGCGUUGUCCGGAUUUAUUGGGCGUAAAGCGCGUGUAGGCGGUCCGGUAAGUCCGCUGUGAAAGUCGGGGGCUCAACCCUCGGAUGCCGGUGGAUACUGUCGGGCUCGAGUACGGAAGAGGCGAGUGGAAUUCCUGGUGUAGCGGUGAAAUGCGCAGAUAUCAGGAGGAACACCGAUUGCGAAGGCAGCUCGCUGGGACGUUACUGACGCUGAGGCGCGAAAGCUAGGGUAGCAAACGGG